rnacentral:lncRNA from 1 species
AUAUUUUUGAAAGUUUUUUGUUUGUUUUUGAAAGUUGCUUCGAAAGAUCUGAAGCUCUGAAAAUAUAAAAUUUUGAAAGCAGUUUAAUUUGUUGUUUCUGGUGGAGAGGUCAGGUGGUAUUUUCUUUUUUUGGUUUAAAUUUGGUUUAAUAAGUUCGGAAGCUUCAGAAAUCUUUAGAUAUAUGUUUUUUUAAUUUGUUGUUGUCAUUGAAAAGUGUUUUGUAUUUGAAUGUUUGUUUUGAAAGUUUAAAACCUUUGAAAGUUUGAAACAUUUGAAAGUUUGAAAGCUUUUAUGGUUGUUGUUAUUGUUGCUUUUUGCACUUAAUUCUCUGAAGAAAACACUUGUGCUCCGCUGCUCAAUUAAAAAAUGUAUGCAUUUACAUUUAUUCGUUUCACAACUUAAGACGUUCACCAAUUACUAUGGAAGUUUCUAUAAAAAAUAUUAAAAAAACUAAUGAAAAACAUGUUAGAAGAACAGAGAAAGUGUAUUUUAAAAGAAACAGAAAAACUUCUUAAAGAACAAGAAGUUUGCAAAAAUCACUUUGCAAAACUCACUUGUGAUAUACAAAUAAUAACAGACAGACGAGAAAAAAUUAAAAGCGAUUUGAACAACGACAAAAUAAAAAUAAAAAGUGUGCAAAAAGAUAUUAGUGAAUUAAAAGCGAGUAUUGAUUUUUUAGAAGAGAUUUCAAUGAAAAGGAUAUCCGAAACUAACAAACGCAUAUACCCUUAAAAGAUAUUUUAAUGAAAAAACAUUUCCUGAAAAACACUCCCUGAAAAACUUCCUGAAAAAACACUUCCUGAUUCGCAUAAUGAAUCAAAUAUAUCGAAAGAUAAUUAAAAAAAUUAAUAGUCUAAAAAAAUUAAAUCUCGAAAAUCGAUCCCGAAGAAAUAAUUUGCGAAUUAAUGGUGUUAAAGAACUACCUGGUUAAAGAGCUACCUUGGGAAGAUUGUAAAAAAAUUGUUAAAAACAUAUUUACUGAAAAACUCCAAAUUAAUUAAGAUAUUAUAAUUAAAAGAGCGCACAGAUCGAGCUCAAUUAAAACAGGAAAAGAGCGAACAAUUGUUUUAAAACUAAUAAAUUAUAACGACAAGCAAAACAUUUUCCUCGAGUCAAAAAACCUACGCGGAACAUUUACAUUAAUGAGAAGACCUUGCAAAGGAAACUAUUCGAGUUCGAAAAAUGGGAAGGUGUUAUAAAGUUGCGAAAAGAAGAUUCCCUGGAGGAUGCCUGAUAAAAAGAAAAACUGAAGUAACUUAAAAACAAAAUGAUGGCAACUGAAGAAGUUGAAACACUGUUAUUCAUGAUGUUAUAUCGAGGCUUCAGUUCUCCACUGCUUAGCUAAAAAAUGUUAAUCGGAAGAAACAAAAGUGGAUGGCGUGGUGCCAGUAGAUGGUAUCGAUAUGAUCUAGUCUCAAUUAAGUUAGUCGCAGUUAAGUGUUUAAAAAAAGUUUGACCAUUUUUUUUUAGACUAAUUUUUUAAUGUAUUGUGCUUGAAGAACGUUGUUUAUUACAUAUUAAAUUUAAAUAUUUAUUUUCAAACGAAAAAUAAAACCUGUAAACAAUUUCUCUCUAAAGUUACAAUUUCUCUCUAAAGUUCAAGUGCCAGUGAAACGAACGAUAGAAAAAAAAGAAGCAUUCAAAAUGUUCGCAAAAUUUUUGGUUUGGAUAUAAAAAACCAAGUGAAAAUGAUACUGGAAAGACUGUUUACCGUUUAACUCCUGUCCCAAUCUAACCUAGUGGGUUUAAAAAAAAGGGAACGCGCUGGAAACAUGAGUGGAUUAAAUAGAUCAGCCCUUUUUGAAUUAAUAGUCGAAGUGGUAACCAGCUAGAAGUCGUAACCUGCUCGUAUGAAAAGAUUUCUCGACGUGAAAUCGUUAGUUUUAUUCCACAACGCCAAGAAACAGAGCUCGCUCAAGAAACAGAAAAGAAAGAGAAAGAUGAAAAAAUACUCUGUUGAACAAUACUAUUGUUUUGUUUAUAAAUUAU